rnacentral:rRNA from 1 species
CCUACGGGAGGCAGCAGUGAGGAAUAUUGGUCAAUGGGCGCGAGCCUGAACCAGCCAAGUAGCGUGAAGGAUGAAUGCCCUACGGGUUGUAAACUUCUUUUAUAAAGGAAUAACGUGAGGCAAGUGUCCCUUUUUGUAUGUACUUUAUGAAUAAGGAUCGGCUAACUCCGUGCCAGCAGCCGCGGUAAUACGGAGGGUCCGAGCGUUAUCCGGAUUUAUUGGGUUUAAAGGGAGCGUAGGUGGGUUGUUAAGUCAGUUGUGAAAGUUUGCGGCUCAACCGUAAAAUUGCAAUGGAUACUGGCGGGAUGGAGUGCAGUAGAGGUAGACGGAAUUCGUGGUGUAGCGGUGAAAUGCUUAGAUAUCACGAAGAACACCGAUGGCGAAGGCAGCUUACUGAGCUGCAACUGACAUUGAUGCUCGAAAGUGUGGGUAUCAAACAGGAUUAGAUACCCUUGUAGUC